UACGUAGGGUGCAGGCGUUAAUCGGAAUUACUGGGCGUAAAGCGUGCGCAGGCGGUUUCUUAAGUCAGAUGUGAAAUCCCCGGGCUUAACCUGGGAACUGCGUUUGAAACUGGGAGACUUGAGUGUGGCAGAGGAAGGUGGAAUUCCACGUGUAGCGGUGAAAUACGUAGAGAUGUGGAGGAACACCGAUGGCGAAGGCAGCCUUCUGGGCCAACACUGACGCUCAUGCACGAAAGCGUGGGGAGCAAACAGG
rnacentral:rRNA from 1 species